GUCUACAGCCAUGCCACCCUGAACAAGCCCGAUCCCAUCUGAUUUCAGAAGCCUCGGAAGCUAAGCAGGGUUGGGCCUGGUUAGUACUUGGAUGGGAGGCCACCUUGGAAGACCAAGUGCUAUAGGUA
rnacentral:rRNA from 1 species